AGCGAACGCUGGCGGCAGGCCUAACACAUGCAAGUCGAACGAACCCUUCGGGGUUAGUGGCGGACGGGUGAGUAACACGUGGGAACGUGCCUUUAGGUUCGGAAUAACUCAGGGAAACUUGUGCUAAUACCGAAUGUGCCCUUCGGGGGAAGGAUUUAUCGCCUUUAGAGCGGCCCGCGUCUGAUUAGCUAGUUGGUGAGGUAAUGGCUCACCAAGGCUACGAUCAGUAGCUGGUCUGAGAGGAUGACCAGCCACAUUGGGACUGAGACACGGCCCAAACUCCUACGGGAGGCAGCAGUGGGGAAUCUUGCGAAAUGGGCGAAAGCCUGACGCAGCCAUGCCGCGUGGAUGAUGAAGGUCUUAGGAUUGUAAAAUCCUUUCACCGGUGAAGAUAAUGACUGUAGCCGGAGAAGAAGCCCCGGCUAACUUCGUGCCAGCAGCCGCCGUAACAC
rnacentral:rRNA from 1 species